UACGUAGGGGGCUAGCGUUGUCCGGAACCAUUGGGCGUAAAGCGCGUGUAGGCGGCCCGGUAAGUCCGCUGUGAAAGUCGGGGGCUCAACCCUCGAAUGCCGGUGGAUACUGUCGGGCUAGAGUACGGAAGAGGCGAGUGGAAUUCCUGGUGUAGCGGUGAAAUGCGCAGAUAUCAGGAGGAACACCCAUUGCGAAGGCAGCUCGCUGGGACGUUACUGACGCUGAGACGCGAAAGCGUGGGGAGCAAACAGG
rnacentral:rRNA from 1 species